GGGGGGAUGGCCUACACAACCUUUUCUGGCUGCCAAGACACCUACGCCUCGCACACAUCGACCCCCUACCGACUACCUUAACAACCCUGACAAUCUGGGAUGAGACAGAGGACAGAGAGAGGGCCCGGGACAGUAUACCAGGGAACGCCCCGAUCUCCGUGAUCGCGGUAGGAAUCCCAACAUUUGAACAUAAACAAUGGAGAGACGGAGGGUGCACUACAGUCAC